rnacentral:sRNA from 1 species
UACAACUGCGGAAUUGACUUUGUUAGCC